GCUCCCGUGGCCUAAUGGAUAAGGCGUUGGUCUCCUAAGUCAAAAUUUCUUGGAAAGGAGUGAACCAACGAUGGGGGUUCAAGUCCCCCCGGGAGCC
rnacentral:tRNA from 1 species